rnacentral:rRNA from 1 species
UGCGCAGGCGGAUGUGUAGGUGUCUUGUGAAAUCCCUCCGCUCAACGGAGGAAUUGCAAGGCAAACCACAUGUCUUGAGGCAGGUAGGGGCCGUCGGAACGAUAGGUGGAGCGGUGAAAUGCGUAGAUAUCUAUCGGAACGCCGAAGGUGAAGACAGACGGCUGGGCCUGACCUGACGCUGAGGCACGAAAGCGUGGGGAGCAAACG